AUUAACAUAAAGAGUCGAACCUGCCCAAUGAUAUUUUUAAAUGGCCGCGGUACUCUGACCGUGCAAAGGUAGCAUAAUCAUUUGCCUUAUAAUUGAAGGCUAGUAUGAACGGUUUGACAAGAGUAGCACUGUCUCUACUAAAUUUUAUAGAAUUUGGUUUUUAGGUGAAGAAACCUAAAUAAAAUUGAAAGACAAGAAGACCCUAUCGAGCUUUAAAAAAUUUUUCUUAAAAAUUUUAGUUGGGGCGACUAAGGAACAAUAAAAGCUUCUUUUUUAUAUAUAAACUUAUAUGUUUUGAUCCAAAAAAAUGAUUAAUAGAAUUAGUUACCGUAGGGAUAACAGCAUAAUCUUUUUUGAGAGUUCUUAUCGAAAAAAAGGUUUGUGACCUCGAUGUUGGACUAGGAUAUCCUAAAGGUGUAGAAGCCUUUAAAGGUUGGUCUGUUCGACCAUUAACA
rnacentral:rRNA from 2 species